rnacentral:rRNA from 1 species
CCUACGGGAGGCAGCAGUGAGGAAUAUUGGACAAUGGGCGCAAGCCUGAUCCAGCCAUGCCGCGUGCAGGAAGAAGCAUCUAUGGUGUGUAAACUGCUUUUGUACAGGAAGAAACACUCCCUCGUGAGGGAGCUUGACGGUACUGUAAGAAUAAGGACCGGCUAACUCCGUGCCAGCAGCCGCGGUAAUACGGAGGGUCCGAGCGUUAUCCGGAAUCAUUGGGUUUAAAGGGUCCGUAGGCGGUUUAAUAAGUCAGUGGUGAAAUCUGGUCGCUCAACGAUCAAACGGCCAUUGAUACUGUUAGACUUGAAUUAUAAGGAAGUAACUAGAAUAUGUAGUGUAGCGGUGAAAUGCUUAGAUAUUACAUGGAAUACCAAUUGCGAAGGCAGGUUACUACUUAUGGAUUGACGCUGAUGGACGAAAGCGUGGGGAGCGAACAGGAUUAGAUACCCUGGUAGUCCACGCCGUAAACGAUGGAUACUAGCUGUUCGGAGCAAUCUGAGUGGCUAAGCGAAAGUGAUAAGUAUCCCACCUGGGGAGUACGUUGCAAGAAUGAACUUAAAUGAAUUGACGGNUGAGAGNGCGAGNGACGAGAGGAGAGG